rnacentral:sRNA from 1 species
UGAGACUAAACUAUACUGCCAGAGCUGACAUCCCCAAGCCGUGGAAAAAAGCCUUUCCCAGCAUCACCAUCCUGAUGGAAUGAAGCCUUCGAUGUUCGUUCUUGUCUCUUGUCUUUUUGUCUUUUGUGCAUUGACUUUCCCUCGUGUGAGGCUUUUGAUCUGCCCCCUAAGCAUAGAAUACCGGCGAUACAGAUACGAAACAGUAAAAUAAACGGUCGCUCCAGAAAGCCGGGCCAAGCUUGAUAACUCCGGCGGUAGUGUUGGUAUUGGUAUUGGUGUGGUGGUAGUUUUGGUGGUAGUGGCUCUCGGACCGGACAAAAGCGCCCUCAAGCUUCCGAAGAGGUUAAAAAAUCAAAAAGGCCGCGGACAUCAACAUCUCACCCGAAACUCUAGCCACCGGUGCGGAUCAGCGGCGGGAUUGGAAGGAUGAAAUCCGGGAGAGGCUCGACGGACUCCAGGGAGCAAACCCGAAAGAGAGUUGCGACUAAGUGGAGCACGGAUGGGAAACUAACGAAAAUGACGAGAGACCUGGCCUCUGCCGCGGGCGGGUCUAGUAAUCAAUUUAUAUUUAUAUUUUAUGGUUUUUCUUUUUUCUUUUCAUGAUGUAUUUAGUUUCUUUUUUCCUUCGAUGCUGAACUUUGGAGUUUGCGGAGGCGGCUCUACUGGAUAUCCGAUACACAAACGGUACCUGAGGAUCUGGCCUCGAUCGCCUGGAGGGCAGAAUCUUGCGUAAUUCAUUGCCAACGUUUGACUUCUUUUGGGAGGCUAGGGGCCGUGGCGACAGGGCUGGAUGGAUUGGUCUUGGAUUGAUUGCAUCGACGGUAGGGAGGAAAUAGAAUCGUUUGAAGAAUGAUGACUCUUUCGAAGGCGAUGAUCAUGGAGUGAGCAUAACUAGGACUAUUGGUAACUUGAAGCUUGAUGUCCCGUCCAAUGUACUGUAGUAUCCAACUCCUUUCCAAGGUUGAGACAUAUCUCGGUCCAUCACAACUUGAACUUGAACCAAACAGAAGAACAAGAGGAGUGGACGUUAUAUUCUGCCACCCUCUCACGACCACGACCACACCUAGGAAUCAUGAAACAACACAAGGACACGG